AGUGAACGCUGGCGGUAGGCCUAACACAUGCAAGUCGAACGGCAGCACAGUAAGAGCUUGCUCUUACGGGUGGCGAGUGGCGGACGGGUGAGGAAUACAUCGGAAUCUACUUUUUCGUGGGGGAUAACGUAGGGAAAAUUACGCUAAUACCGCAUACGACCUACGGGUGAAAGCAGGGGAUCUUCGGACCUUGCGCGAUUGAAUGAGCCGAUGUCGGAUUAGCUAGUUGGCGGGGUAAAGGCCCACCAAGGCGACGAUCCGUAGCUGGUCUGAGAGGAUGAUCAGCCACACUGGAACUGAGACACGGUCCAGACUCCUACGGGAGGCAGCAGUGGGGAAUAUUGGACAAUGGGCGCAAGCCUGAUCCAGCCAUACCGCGUGGGUGAAGAAGGCCUUCGGGUUGUAAAGCCCUUUUGUUGGGAAAGAAAAGCAGCAGGUUAAUACCCCGCUGUUCUGACGGUACCCAAAGAAUAAGCACCGGCUAACUUCGUG
rnacentral:rRNA from 1 species